AAGCAGGGGACCGCAAGGCCUUGCGCUCUUUGAGCGGCCGAUGUCAGAUUAGCUAGUUGGUGAGGUAACGGCUUACCAAGGCGACGAUCUGUAGCGGGUCUGAGAGGAUGAUCCGCCACACUGGCACUGAGACACGGUCCAGACUCCUACGGGAGGCAGCAGUGGGGAAUUUUGGACAAUGGGGGCAACCCUGAUCCAGCCAUGCCGCGUGAGUGAAGAAGGCCUUCGGGUUGUAAAGCUCUUUCGGCCGGGAAGAAAUCGCAUGGGCCAAUACCCUGUGUGGAUGACGGUACCGGAAUAAGAAGCACCGGCUAACUACGUGCCAGCAGCCGCGGUAAUACGUAGGGUGCGAGCGUUAAUCGGAAUUACUGGGCGUAAAGCGUGCGCAGGCGGUUUUGUAAGACAGGCGUGAAAUCCCCGGGCUCAACCUGGGAACUGCGUUUGUGACUGCAAGGCUAGAGUACGGCAGAGGGGGGUGGAAUUCCACGUGUAGCAGUGAAAUGCGUAGAGAUGUGGAGGAACACCAAUGGCGAAGGCAGCCCCCUGGGUCGAUACUGACGCUCAUGCACGAAAGCGUGGGUAGCAAACAGGAUUAGAUACCCUGGUAGUCCACGCCCUAAACUAUGUCAACUAGGUGUUGGGUGGGUAAAACCAUUUAGUACCGUAGCUAACGCGUGAAGUUGACCGCCUGGGGAGUACGGCCGCAAGGUUAAAACUCAAAGGAAUUGACGGGGACCCGCACAAGCGGUGGAUGAUGUGGAUUAACUCGAUGCAACGCGAAAAACCUUACCUACCCUUGACAUGCCAGGAACUUGCCAGAGAUGGCUUGGUGCCCGAAAGGGAGCCUGGACACAGGUGCUGCAUGGCUGUCGUCAGCUCGUGUCGUGAGAUGUUGGGUUAAGUCCCGCAACGAGCGCAACCCUUGUCGUUAAUUGCCAUCAUUUAGUUGGGCACUUUAGCGAGACUGCCGGUGACAAACCGGAGGAAGGUGGGGAUGACGUCAAGUCCUCAUGGCCCUUAUGGGUAGGGCUUCACACGUCAUACAAUGGUCGGUACAGAGGGUCGCCAAGCCGCGAGGUGGAGCCAAUCCCAGAAAGCCGAUCGUAGUCCGGAUUGCAGGCUGCAACUCGCCUGCAUGAAGUCGGAAUCGCUAGUAAUCGUGGAUCAGCAUGUCACGGUGAAUACGUUCCCGGGUCUUGUACACACCGCCCGUCACACCAUGGGAGCGGGUUCCGCCAGAAGUAGGUAGCCUAACCGCAAGGAGGGCGCUUACCACGGCGGGGUUCGUGACUGGGGUGAAGUCGUAACAAGAUAGCCGUAGGGGACCUGCGGCUG
rnacentral:rRNA from 1 species